GAUGAACGCUAGCGGCAGGCUUAAUACAUGCAAGUCGAGGGGCAGCAGCUUUGUAGCAAUACAGGGGCUGGCGACCGGCAAACGGGUGCGGAACACGUACGCAACCUUCCUUUAACUGGAAGAUAGCCCACCGAAAGGUGGAUUAAUACUCCAUAACAUAUUGAAGAGGCAUCUCUUUGAUAUUAAAGCUCCGGCGGUUAAAGAUGGGCGUGCGUCUGAUUAGGUAGUUGGCGGGGUAACGGCCCACCAAGCCUUCGAACAGUAGCUGAUGUGAGAGCAUGAUCAGCCACACGGGCACUGAGACACGGGCCCGACUCCUACGGGAGGCAGCAGUAAGGAAUAUUGGUCAAUGGACGCAAGUCUGAACCAGCCAUGCCGCGUGGAGGAUGAAGGCCCUCUGGGUUGUAAACUUCUUUCUUUGGGACGAAACCCCUGUUUCUACGGGACUGACGGUACCAGAGGAAUAAGCACCGGCUAACUCCGUGCCAGCAGCCGCGGUAA
rnacentral:rRNA from 1 species